rnacentral:rRNA from 1 species
GAUGAACGCUGGCGGCGUGCUUAACACAUGCAAGUCGAACGGGAAACCUUUUAUUGAAGCUUCGGCAGAUUUCGCUGGUUUCUAUUGGCGGCCGGGUGAGUAACGCGUGGGUAACCUGCCUUAUCCAGGGGGAUAACAACCAGAAAUGGUUGCUAAUACCGCAUAAGCGCACAGGACCGCAUGGUCCGGUGUGAAAAACUCCGGUGGUAUAAGAUGGACCCGCGUUGGAUUAGCUAGUUGGCAGGGUAACGGCCUACCAAGGCGACGAUCCAUAGCCGGCCUGAGAGGGUGAACGGACACAUUGGGACUGAGCCACGGCCCAGACUCCUACGGGAGGCAGCAGUGGGGAAUAUUGCACAAUGGGGGAAACCCUGAUGCAGCGACGCCGCGUGAAGGAAGAAGUAUCUCGGUAUGUAAACUUCUAUCAGCAGGGAAGAUAGUGACGGUACCUGACUAAGAAGCCACGGCUAACUACGUG